rnacentral:rRNA from 1 species
AUUGAACGCUGGCGGCAUGCUUUACACAUGCAAGUCGAACGGUAACAGGCCGCAAGGUGCUGUCGAGUGGCGAACGGGUGAGUAAUGCAUCGGAACGUGCCCCGUCGUGGGGGAUAACUACUCGAAAGAGUAGCUAAUACCGCAUACGAUCUAUGGAUGAAAGCGGGGGACCGUAAGGCUUCGCGCGAUUUGAGCGGCCGAUGUCAGAUUAGGUAGUUGGUGGGGUAAAGGCUCACCAAGCCAACGAUCUGUAGCUGGUCUGAGAGGACGACCAGCCACACUGGGACUGAGACACGGCCCAGACUCCUACGGGAGGCAGCAGUGGGGAAUUUUGGACAAUGGGCGCAAGCCUGAUCCAGCAAUGCCGCGUGCAGGAAGAAGGCCUUCGGGUUGUAAACUGCUUUUGUACGGAACGAAACGGCUCUGGUUAAUACCCGGGGCUAAUGACGGUACCGUAAGAAUAAGCACCGGCUAACUACGUG